rnacentral:rRNA from 1 species
AGGGCACCACCAGGAGUGGAGCCUGCGGCUUAAUUUGACUCAACACGGGGAAACUCACCCGGCCAGGACACAAUAAGGAUUGACAGAUUGAUAGCUCUUUCUUGAUUUUGUGGGUGGUGGUGCAUGGCCGUUCUUAGUUGGUGGAGCGAUUUGUCUGGUUAAUUCCGAUAACGAACGAGACUCUAGCCUAUUAAAUAGACGAUAUAUUACUAGUUUAUCGAGCUUCUUAGAGGGACAGGCAGCUUCUAGCUGCACGAGAUUGAGCAAUAACAGGUCUGUGAUGCCCUUAGAUGUCCGGGGCUGCACGCGCGCUACAAUGAUAAUAGCAGCGUGCAUUAAAACCUUUUCUGGUAAGAAUUGGUAAACACGAAAUAUUGUCGUGCUUGGGAUAGGGGAUUGAAAUUAUUGCCCUUAAACGAGGAAUUCCCAGUAAGUGCGAGUCAUUAGCUUGCGUUGAUUACGUCCCUGCCCUUUGUACACACCGCCCGUCGCUACUACCGAUUGGAUGAUAGAGUGAGG